rnacentral:rRNA from 1 species
AACCGGCGCACGGGUGAGUAACACGUAGCUUAUCUGCCCCUUAGAGGGGGAUAACGGUUGGAAACAGCCGCUAAUACCCCAUAAGCUCACGGUUUGUAGAGGAUUGUGAGAAAAGCGAAUAGUGCUAAGGGAUGGGGCUGCGAGCCAUCAGCUAGUUGGUGAGGUAAAGGCUCACCAAGGCGACGACGGCUAGGGGACCUGAGAGGGUGACCCCCCACACUGGAACUGAGACACGGUCCAGACUUCUACGGAAGGCAGCAGUGAGGAAUAUUGCACAAUGGGCGCAAGCCUGAUGCAGCGACGCCGCGUGGGUGAAGAAGGAUUUCGGUCUGUAAAGCCCUUUUCUGUGUGACGAGAGUGGACGGUAGCACAGGAAUAAGUCUCGGCUAACUACGUGCCAGCAGCCGCGGUAAAACGUAGGAGGCAAGCGUUAUCCGGAGUUACUGGGCGUAAAGCGCGUGCAGGUGGUUUGGUAAGUUGGUUAUGAAAGCUCUUGGCUAAACUGGGAGAGGUUGACCAAAACUGCUAGACUAGAGUGGAUGAGAGGUAAAUGGAAUUCCGCGUGUAGUGGUGAAAUGCGUAGAGAUGCGGAAGAACACCAGUGGCGAAGGCGAUUUACUGGCAUCCAACUGACACUCAGACGCGAAAGCAUGGGUAGCGAACGGGAUUAGAAACCCCGGUAGUCCAUGCCGUAAACGAU